GCCCUCGUAGCUCAAUGGUAGAGCGCGUCACUAGUAGCGAUCAAUUACAGACGUACAUGACGAGGUUGCCGGGUAAGUUUAUCAUUACUCCAUUACGUCUUACAAUUUACUAAUAUGCCUACGAUAGUUCGAUUCCGUCCGAGGGCA
rnacentral:tRNA from 1 species